rnacentral:rRNA from 1 species
GACGAACGCUUGCGACGUGCCUAAGAAAUGCAAGUCGAACGAGGUAGCAAUACCUAGUGGCGAACGGUCGCGUAACACGUGGGCAACCUGCCCUAAAGUGGGGGACGAACAUUCCGAAAGGGAGUGCUAAUACCGCAUGUGUAUAGAGAUUGGCAUCUUUCUUCUAUAACAAAGGAAUUUAUUCGUCUUUAGGUAGUGGGCCCGGCCGGCCUAUCAGCUAGUUGGUGAGGUAACGGCUCACCAAGGCUUCGACGGGUAGCUGGUCUGAGAGGACGAUCAGCCGGAUUGGGACUGAGAUACGGCCCAGACUCCUACGGGGGGCGA